AUUCUUGAGAGAGAGAACCACUUGCUGGAUAUAAAGCAAAAUAUAGGUGUCAUUCUUGGAUCACAUUUGUAUGUCCCUGUGGGCAGGGAAGUACAAACAUGUUGAAAGCUAACUCAUUUCAUUUUCAUGGGAAGAGUUUUUCUGAAAUCUCAGAGCACACCUUUUUCUUCAUGUUUGCAGCAGUAUAGGUUUUUCUGUUUAGACACACUGCUAUCUGCAAGUGUUGCUACAUGCUAUUGAGUAUUGAUCCAGUAAGUAUGGUAUCUUAUCUACAAUGGUGACUAGCAUUAGCAGCCUUAGAAGUAUGUGCAAAAAGAUGAACAGAUAAAGCCUAAUAGAUAAAGAUGGCACUCAUAGGGGAAGGCUGCUCAGAUUUCUCUUUAGAGGUUGGCUUACAGUUGAGGCCCAAGAAAUAAUCGAGAGUUCAAUUAUCUUUCAUGUGAAUGGGAAAUAAUGUUCUCAUUCCCAAAUGUUCUUUUGCUUUUCAAGACUACUCACACAGGAAAAUGGAGAGUUGGGCUUACCCUUCUUCACUGAUCCAGAAAUGCUCUAGUAAUUUGGUUAAUAGCCAAUGACCCUACGUCACUCUUGCAAAAAGUGCCAUAUCUCUCAAAAGCAGGACUUUACCUAGUUUGAGAUCACUUACUAACUAUUAAAGUUAAUGGUCUGAACAUUAGAAGAGAUGUGUAAUUUGGCAUGGAAUCUCCAAUAGUGCCUGAAGCAUUGUGGUAUUUGAACAAUGCAACCAAGAAAACUCAUUAACGUGGGCAAAUUUUAUGUUUCAGGUGAAACAAAUGAAAAUCAGCUUGCAUAGGGACUUGCUUUGUACAAUUCUCAGCACAAUAUGGGGAAAUUGCGGGUGUCAAAUGUAUGGCCUACAGGUUGGAUCCAAAUAAAUAGGGAGGAGAUAUCUGGGAAGAAGUGCUGUGUGGUGAGGCCCAGAGAGAAGGCAGCUGUGUUACAAGAUAAUUGUUAUGGAUAGGUGGUGGACCUCUUUUACCCCAUUGACUUCCACGGCCUUUCAAAGUGCUAAGAGUUCAGGUAAAAGGAGGUGUACGUAAGUGCCAUAUUGGCUCAGAUCAGUGGUCCAUUUAGGUCAACAUCCUGCCCCUAAAGGUGGUAAAUUGUAGUUGUUUUAGAAGGAGAGUAUAGGACUGGGGCAUAUCUUAAGUGAUCCAUCCCCUGGGCUACGUUCCGUGCCAUCAACCAUCCUCUGUUUAGGAAUGUUGGGAUACAUCUCUUGAAGUGAGUAUGAGAUGGAAACGUCGCUGAUGUUGGUAGCCCCUCUUCACCCAGUUGCCAAAAUCUUCCAUUGCCUACAAGAGUGAAGUACCUUGCAUGUCUCCAGCUUUUGACUGCUCAAAACAAAAAGUCAAACAGCAGGGCUGGCAGUGUUUGGUGGGAUUGUUUUUUUUCUGUUGUUUUAAACAUCUGCUUUUAAUACUUGGCAUGUUCACUAAGUUGUUCUUCAAACACAAUUGGAAGCUCAAAUAUGCAUCUUCAAAGAGAGGAGAAACACUUAAAAAUUUUAGGCCCUGCAAUAAAUUACUGGCAGCUGCUAUUUUUAUGUCAUGAAAAUAAAAAUGUGGAAAAUAUGGGACUUCACAUGUGGAAGCUAUCAGUCUAAAUAGUAUUUCAAACUUUUUAAAAUAGGCAAACUUGACUGCACGUUCUUUUUGGAGAGUCAUAAAUACUUCCUUUGCUUGCAUUCAAAUCCUCUCAUUGUCUAUUUCUUGUUCUUGUUUUAAGUUAGUUUGGGCAGUAGACCUGGGUUGUUGAUAGGUUAAAAUAGCCCAUUCUCCUUUAACUGCAGUGGCUAGUGAGUAAUAUAAUAAAAUUAUAAGUGCAAGUACUAUAUCCUAACUCUGACAUGCUCCUCUUCUUCCAACAUCCCCCCCCCCAUACACAUACAUGCAUAUACACAGCAUCCACUUUUUUUUUUAAUUAUAGCCUAAGUCAUUGCAAGAACUGGACUGUAAAAUUUUAGAUGGGUGUGUAGAGUGGAGAUGUUUUAUCAUCAUUUUCUGGUUAUAGUAUAAUUCAUGAUGAGUAAAAUGCCUACAGAAUGCAUUUCUCUUGAAAUGGGAUAGGAUGUCAUUUACAGCUCUAACAUCAAGAUGGUAAGUAAGGCUUGUCUAGCAAGUUAAAGCAUUAGAGGAAAAAGUUCCCGUUUACUACUCUGCUUCUAACUCAGUGCAGUUUUGGGCAAAUAACUUCAUUCUGCUCUGUAUGAAAUAGUUAAAUGCUACCUACCUCAGAGCUGUGCUGUGAGGUGUUUUUAGUUAACAUUUGUCAGAUGUUUUGUGAUCUUCUGAAUGGAAGAUGUUAAGAGAAAUGUAAAGUGGUGGUUCAUUCUAUUAUAAAGCUACUAACUUUACAAUCCCAUAGCUCAGUGUCAGUUCUGUUUUUAUUCCAGCAAGAGAGGCUGGGAUCUACCCUAGAUUGGCAGUAAUGCAUUGCAAGAAAUCAAUUUUAUUUUUAUCUAGAAUAGUCUUAUGAAUGAUUAAUCCUCAGCAGUACCCUGACAUUACUUUGUAACACUCUGCAGUUUGUUCAUUUAUAGGCAUCCUUCCUAGUAUGUAAGAAUGUUCUAAAAGAGAAUAUAAUAGAAACGUAAGUGCCAUUUAUCAGUGACUUCAGAUUUCUCCUGAUAUUGCAAAUGUUUAGCAAGAGAUGUCUAUCUUAGGUUGUUGGGAAUUGGAUUGAUGUUUAUUAAAAUAUAUAAAGCUCCAUACCAGAUGUCUUUAGGUCUGUGCAUAACAUAUAAACACAAAUGAACUCCAAACAUUGGUUAAACAAAAGAAUAUUUUACCUUGUGAUCAAAGAAAUGUAAUAAAAAAUAGUUUCCCCUGCUUUAUCUUAGCCAUUGGCCAGAGGAACAUAUAUGAGAUUUUAACUAUGACCUGAAGGUCAGAAAACCACUGCAGAGGAUAAAGCGAGCAACUUCCAAAAUCAAGGAUCCUCCACUGAUGGUGUCCCACCAUUACCAGUGACCUAGAGAUGGAGCCUGUAACCUGAAAUGUAUUAACUGAUCUCAGGUGACACUGCAGGACAUGGGACAAAAGGCAAGAUCAGCUCGCAGACUACUGCACUGGGCAGCAGCUUGGGGAGAAAGUGACCAGCCCUCCACAGUGAAACAUGUUGGGGAGUAUUUAGAAAAGGUGGACAUGUACAAGUCCAUAGGACUGGAUGUGAUGUGCAUGAGGCUGCUAAGGGAGUUGGCUGAUGUGAUUGCAGAGCAGCUGGCCAUUCUUUGAAAACUUGCUGUGAUCAGGGGAAGUCCAGGCUGAUUGGAAAAGGGCAAAUAUAGUGCCCAUCUUGAAGAAAGAGGAGGAUCCAAGGAAAUACAGACCAGUCAGCCUUACCUCAGUCUCUGGAAAAGACAUGGAGCAGGUUUUCAAGGAAUCCAUUUCUAAGCAGCUGGAGGAGAAGAAAGUGAUCAGGAACAGUCCACAUGGAUUCACCAAGGGCAAGUCAUGCCUGACCAACCCAGUUGCCUUCUACAAUGAGAUGACUGGCUCUGUGGAUAUGGGGAUAUACCCUGAUUUUAGCAUUGUUUUUGAUACCGUCUUCCACAGUAUUCUUGCAAGCAAGCUAAGGAAACAUGGGUUGGAUGAAUAGACUGUAAGGUAGAAAGAAAGCUGGCUGGAUUGUCAGGCUCAUUGGGUAGUGAUCAGUGGCUCAAUGUCUAAUUGGCAGCUGGUAUUAAGUGGAGUGUCCCAGGGGUUGGUCCUGGGGCCAGUUUUGUUAAAUAUCUUCAUUAACGAUCUGGAAGAUGGGAUGGAAUGCACCCUCAGCAAGUUUCUAGAUCCCAUCAAGCUGCAGGGAGGAAUAGAUAUGCUGCAGAGUAGGGCUAGGAUUCAGUAACCUAGAUAAAUUGAAGGAUUGCGCCACAAGAAAUCUCAUGAGGUUCACCAAGGACAAGUGCAAAGUCCUGCACUUAGGACAGAAGAAGCUCACACUGCCACAGGUUUGAGACCAACUGGCAAAGCAGCAGCUCUAACAAAAAGGACCUGAGGGUUACAGUGGACAAUAAGCUGGAUAUGAGUUGACAGAGUGCCCUUGAUGUCAAGAAGGCAAACAGCAUACUUGGCUCCAUUAGUAGGAGUGUUGCUAGCCGAUUGAGGGAAGUAAUUAUUCCCCUCUAUCCUGCACUGGUUAGGCCACAUCUGGACUACUGUGUUGAGUUUUUGGGCCCCUCACUACAGAAAGGAUGUGGACAAAUUGGAGAGUCCAGCACAGGGCGACACAAAUGGCUAGGGGGUGGGCUCAUGACUUCUGAGGCAAGGCCAAGGGAGCUGGGUUUAUUUAGGCUGCAGAAGAGAAGACUGAGGGGGCAGUUGAUCAAGCCUUCAACUACCUGAAAGGCAGGAGGGGGGUUGAAAGAGAAUGGAGCUAGACUGUUUUUAGUGGUGGUAGAUGAUAGAAGAAGGAGCAGUGGUCUCAAGUUGCAGCAAGGGAAGUUUAGGUUAGAUAUUAGGAAAAACUCUCUCACUAGGAGGGUGGUGAAACACUGGAAUGGGUUACCUAGAGAGGGGAUAGAAUCUCCAUCCUUGAAGGCUUUUAAGGCCCAGCUCAACAAAGCCAUGGCUGGAUUGAUUUAGCUGGGAUGGUCCUGCUUUGAGCAGGAGGUUGGACAAGAUGCCCUCUAGAGGUCUCUUCCAAUCCUAAUUUUCUAGGAUUCUACAAUCUUGCAGCCUUGAAUAAGGCUGCAUGCCAACUAUAACUUUUCUUGACAGCUGCAAGUCCCUUCCCCACAAAACCUCUCACUAUUGUAAGUCAUCAUUUCAUGUUGAGAACUCUCAUGUAGACCACCUACAUUGCUCCUCCCUAGUAGAGCUAGGGGGAAAAAAAGUGGUAGGCUUGGGAGGAAAAAGGCUAUUAAUAAAGUUGCCAUUUGCCUUUUUGCAUGGUUAAAAAGUUAACCUAUUCUCCUACCAACAAGUUUGCCUAAUGUCAUAUGUUCAUGCUACUUGCAUUGACUUCCACUACCUUACACCUACUGUAAUUUUUUAGGACAAGGGCCAACUACUAUUCCAUUUGUGCAACACUGAUUUCUCCUAAGAGAGCAGCAACUUUCCCAGGAGAAAACUGAAUGUCUUUACAUAGCUAUGGUCUGAACCUUAUCAACAAACUUUUGUUCUUGUUGGGCAAUGGAGUUACACAUAGCAUCCAAGUGUCUAGAGUGGUGUACAACCAGCUUACAUGUAAUGGGUCAGUAGGAUCUUAUAACAUGCUCUUCAUGCUACAGCUCCUUUCUGUCUUCCUACUAGACUAAAUAAGUGGAAUAAGAGGUAUGGGUGUAAAUGCAACGUAAAAUGUUCAGAUAUGCGCACUCAACAUUUGACACCUAGAUAAGCAAUCAAUUUGUGAUGUGCCAACUGAUCUUUGCUCUCUCAGACAUUCUUUGUUAUAACUUGUAAUGAAAAUGGGAGUUGAAGGCCAUUUAUAGGUGCAGCAACAUUUUAAGCAUCGUUAUUGAACAGUUCUGGUCUUUUAUUUAGCCCUUCUGUAUGCAAGAAGAUUGAAAAGACCACGUAAAGCAGAGACUGUAAUGAACAAUUCUAUUAGUUCAGUCAUUUAACAUUUUAGGCUUUCAGUUACCAUACAUCAAAUGGUUAUCCAGGCUUCAUGAGGAGAACUCCAACACACAGAUGCUAUUUUGAAUUAAAAUUUGUUGCAACUAUUAACAUUAGUAGCUAGCUGAGUGUCUCUGGAGAUGCAGUGUUAUAUUAGUUCAGAAGACAGUGCGAAGAACUGAAAUAGUAGCUUCUUAGAAGCAAGUGGUAUACAGCAUCACAGAUGACUGGUUUGAUGACAGUUUUUAUAUUGUUUUAAAUGAAGAGAGGUUAGAAAAGAGUGAACAAACAUAUUAGUAUCACUUGGGUAGAUUUUUGUCCUUAGUUAUUUUAUUUCCCCAAGGUAAGAUCCUAUAUAUUUUGCUAUUACCAGAAUUAUGAUGGAAAACCUACGCUUUCAUUAAGAAAACCCUUACUUUUGAGAAAUGGCCCUGGAGUCUGUGUGUAGUGAUGCACCAUUUUCUUCCCGAGUUUUGAAUGAGGUGUAUGACCUGCCCUGUUAAUGACAACGAGACUGGUAACUCAAAUCUAAAGUAAACACUGUCCAUUUUAGCUGAUCAUAGUCCUCUCAACCAGUUGAUGCCAUAAUUCCCAAGCCCCCUUCCAAGUUCCUAGUGCCCAAACUUAAUUCAGUUUUUACUUAACUACUGUACUACAGUUCUUCCAAUAAGCACAGCUACAUAUAUCCCAGUUGAUAUGUGCAACCAUCUAAAAUAAUAAGUUAAAAAUAAAAACCACAAAAAACAGGGCUUCUCUAACGGGUGUGUAGUUCAGUUUUUUGUUUGUUUGUUUUUUUAUUCCAUUUAAAAAUGCGGAGCUGUUUUUGGUGAGAGACAACCUGUAGUUGUUGCUUUAAAAUAAAGCUCCAGCUUACCACAUAGUACACUGGGUCUUGGCCAGAGGCAUCCCUUAGCAUGUUGUUAACCUGCGUUUAAACUGACAUUAUUUUAGUGUCCAAAGAAAUGUAUAAGUAAAAUGUCUAACUAUUUCCAUACACAAACUGGGAUUUCAAGGGUGGACAGAGGGGUUUGUUGCUGUUUCAUGUUAAGCUAAAGGGUGCGAAUAUUUAGCUUAUUAAAACUACCAUGUGUUUAGACAGGAGUCACUGGGUGUACAUGGCAGGAAGUCCAUUCAAAACAACAGCACAAAUAUCAAUGUUCCCAAACUCCAGUCUGAGUAAUACUGAUUCAACUAAAGUGUCACCCCAACACUAAAGAUGCCAGAGAAUCCAAUCGAAAGAUUACCAACCCGAUUAUUUAAAACACAGCAGCAGUACUAAGAAUGGCUCACUAAAUAUACAGAAUUACAUAAUCUACAUACAGUUUAUUGCAAAAAAACCCCCAAAAAACAACAACAAAAAGACCAACAAAAACAAACAAACAAAAAAAACCAGGAAGAGAGCAAACUGAAACUCUGAGUCUUUCAUUCAGAAAUAUCACCUAUUCAAACUUCAUUCACUCUCCCAUGCACACAAAUGCCCAUCCACAAAAUGUUUAACAUUUCUGAGGGUUCUCACAGUCUUUCAGGAAACCUUAAAACAGUUCAGUUAAAAGGAGUCAUUUAAAAUGAGGUCAUUUAGCACAGGACUAUAAAAUCCCCCUACUACAGUUGAGGAAGCAGUUAAAUUCUAGGAUUUGGCUUCUAAAAACUGUACAUAAAAAGAAGAAAUCAGUAGCACUAUGACUACUUUUAAUAUAACUUCUUCACAUGUCUGAAAAAGGUCUUAAUAUAAUAAAAGUAGAUUAAUGAAUGCUUGUAAUAAUUUCAAAAUAAAGACUUAUCAGGCAUACACAAACAGUGUUUAAUUAAAAUAAACACUGUUUAUGGGCACUGAUCUCUAAAGUUAACAGAUCUAACAAUUAUUUGUUUCUGUAUUAACUUUUAAUUCUAAGCUUACAUUAAAAAACAAAUUGUAGCAAUUUUAAGUUGUUAGAAUUUCAUGAGUCUUUUAAAACUUCAAUAAAUAUGCUAACAUCAAAGUCAGUUAAGUUGUCAUGCAAGACAAGUUAUGUAACCAAGACCAACUCAACUUUUAUAAUAAAGGCAACUUGCAUUCAGAA